rnacentral:rRNA from 1 species
AUUGAACGCUGGCGGCAGGCCUAACACAUGCAAGUCGAGCGAGCGGCGGACGGGUGUGUAAUGUCUGGGAAACUGCCUGAUGGAGGGGGAUAACUACUGGAAAAGGUAGCUAAUACCGCAUACCAUCAGAUGUGCCCAGAUGGGAUUAGCUAGUAGGUGGGGUAACGGCUCACCUAGGCGACGAUCCCUAGCUGGUCUGAGAGGAUGACCAGCCACACUGGAACGGAGCAACGGUCCAGACUCCGACGGGAGGCAGCAGUGGGGAAUAUUGCACAAUGGGGGCAAGCCUGAUGCAGCAAUCCCGCGUGUGUGAAGAAGGCCGUCGGGUUGUAAAGCACUUUCAGCGGGGAGGCGUUACCCGCAGAGGAAGCACCGGCUAACUCCGUGCCAGCAGCCGCGGUAAUUC